AUAUUUUCAGGAAGUCAUGUUCAAGAAUAAGUCAGGGGGGAAAUGGUUUUGUUUUGUUUUUUUCUUACCAGACAUAUUGAAAUCAGUGAAGGCUGGUAGGGCAGAAGGCAAGUUUAUUGAUGGUUGUUGUUGUUUAGCCAUUUAGUCGUGUCCGACUCUUCGUAACCCCAUGGACCAGAGCACGCCAGGCCUCCACCGCCUCCUGCAGCUUGGUCAAACUCAUGCUGGUAGCCUCAAGAACACCGUCCAACCAUCUCGUCCUCUGUCAUCCCCUUCUCCUUGUGUCCUCAAUGGUAGGUGGACCCAAAGCCAAAAGCAGGUGGAGCCUGAGAAUUCUGGUUUUGUUUUCAUCCUCCUCCCUGCUGAAGUCUACAAAGGUAAGACUUAAACUAAGGAGAAGGAAGAUGACAGCUAUUGCCACCAUCUGGACUGGUCGUAUGUAAGCAGGCAGGCAGGUGAGCUUGGUGAGGCCCCCAUUUGGGCCAGCCUUCACUGAAUGAAAUAACCUUUAACUCUGGUUGGCUCUGCCACAACUUCUUUCCUUAAUGGUCAUGGACUCAAAAGUGACACCUUUCAUCAGGCAGCUCAUCAUGCCUGCAGAUCUCUGAUCUUCUUAGGAGGUUAAAACUGACUCGUUAACUAUGCUAUGGUCACCUGAUGUCUGCCAAUGGAGUGCUUGUACACUGAAGCAGCACAUCCACACAAUCCUAACACACACACACACACACACACACACACACACACAUUCCUGUCCACCCCAUCAACAGUUAUGAGAGAAGCCAAAGGCCCAACUAUCUAUCUAUCUAUCUAUCUAUCUAUCUAUCUAUCUAUCAUAAUCAUCUAUCUAUCUACCGACACUUAGACAGUCCUUCACUGAAUAAACUAAUGGUCUGAUUUGAUGCAAGGCAGCAUCCAUUGCUCCUAAAGAACCAUGGAGUUUUUCUAAACUAUCUGAAACCAAUUUUCAAAAUACAUCUUGCCAAUUAUUUUGGCUGUUUACAAAGCACCCCUUUCACAAAGUCAGGGUGGUACCCAUGGCAACAACUUUUGGUAACUAAAGAAUGAUGUGACUUACUCACUGAUUAAUUGUGAGUUUUUGUGGCGUCACUGGAACCUAUCACAGAUGGUCUUACCCAGUGCUUUAUGUCUGGGGGGACACAGGGAGACUCAUAGCCCUAAACAUUUUGUGAAUCUAAGUUUGGUCUCAUUGAGGGGCAGUAUUUCAAUAUGAGUAGGAAAAUGAGAGUACUCCUAAACAUUUAAUUUUUUUAAGAAAAAAAUCACUGGUCUUACCCAUCACCUGCUACCUGCCUUCUUAUUUCAGUAUAGUUGCCAUGGGCGAAAGCUGGAGUCGUCUGCCUGUGCAGUGUUUGCUCUACAGCGAAGCUAUAGACCCCUUACUGGAACCUAACACAUCAACACAACAAGUGGGUAAGCCCAUAUUCCCAUCUGCUACAUAAGGCACAAUUGAAGAUAUCGACCAGCAUUUCUCUGCCCAUGACCAAUUACAAUGUACUGUAGGAAUUAAC